AUUGAACGCUGGCGGUAGGCCUAACACAUGCAAGUCGAACGCGAAAGUCCUUCGGAGUGAGUAGAGUGGCGGACGGGUGGAGUAACGCGUAGGAAUCUAUCCUGUAGUGGGGGAGUAACGUUUCGAAAGGAACGCUAAUACCGCAUACGCCCCAACGGGGAAAGCGGGGAGUCUUCGGACCUCGUGCUAUAGGAGGAGCCUGCGUCGGAUUAGCUAGUUGGUGAGGUAAAGGCUCACCAAGGCGACGAUCCGUAGCUGGUCUGAGAGGAUGAUCAGCCACACCGGAACUGAGACACGGUCCGGACUCCUACGGGAGGCAGCAGUGGGGAAUAUUGCGCAAUGGGCGAAAGCCUGACGCAGCCAUACCGCGUGUGUGAAGAAGGCC
rnacentral:rRNA from 1 species